rnacentral:misc_RNA from 1 species
GAUGAAGAACGUAGCGAAAUGCGAUACGUAAUGUGAAUUGCAGAAUUCAGUGAGUCAUCGAAUCUUUGAACGCACAUUGCGCCCUGUGGUAUUCCGCAGGGCAUGCCUGUUCGAGCGUCAUUUCAACCCUCAAGCUCUGCUUGGUGUUGGGCCCUGCCCGCUGCGGCCGGCCCUAAAGACAGUGGCGGUGCCGCCUGGCCCUGAGCGUAGUACAUCUCUCGCUCCAGUGCCCGGUGGUAGCCUGCCAGAACCCCAACUCUCGUGGUUGACCUCGGAUCAGGUAGGGAUACCCGCUGAACUUAAGCAUAUCAAUAAGCGGAGGA